AGAAAAGCAAUACUCCCAGGGACCACCAGUCAGCAGUGUGGUUGUAAGGCCCACCACUCAAGACCUCUGGAGCUAUGGCAUGAAAGGAACCCAAAUCAACUAUCUGCUUCCUACUGCCUUCUCAGACCUGUUGAAACGUCUUGGAUUCUUGUUCAACCUAAGAAAGAAGACUUAACUCUACCUUUACAUCACGAUGGAUGAUGCCCAAGUCAUGGAGAUAGCCUGUGGAGAACAGUGAGCAUGGCUGUGUCUCCCAGUUUCUUUGUAGCCCCUAUCCCAUCUCUACCCUGGCUUCCAAAAUUAAAUAUUCUAUUUUCCUCCCCACUAACUUAAUUCUCCCCCUUUCAUUUCCUUUACCGCCUUUUCACUUACAGAGUACAAGGACCAGUUCAGCUGCAAAGAGACGGACAGAAUCCUCUGGAAAACAACCAACAGUGGACCACAGGGAGUAGAGAUCCAUGCUGCAGUAGCUACACACUGCAAAGCACCAGAAGUCUAGGCAAUACUGAGGUCUGUACUAUAAUGCCUGGGCUUAAAGCAUUAUGGACCUCUUGCCCAAACUAAUGCCACCAUCUGUUUCCCUCUUGUGGAAUACAGAAAUGCUAUGAGGAGCGGAGCCAAGGAAAGGCAGAAUGUCAGGUGGGAAGGGCAGUAUAUGGACCUUUUGGGGAGAAGACAAAAACCCAGUCACUCACUAAUAAAGAGGUGUCGUUUCCCCUGCCAGCUGUCCCCCAAACUGUGUACAAAAGGAUGGUUGAUCUGCCGCUAGGGACAAAGAAGAACAGUUAGGAAAGAACAGCCUUUUGACGAUAAAUAUAGCCAAGAAAUCAUGUGUUGCCUUGUGUAAAAAUGAACUGGGGCUUCACUUUCUGAUUCAGAACUUAUUUGGGACUCUCCCAGCAAACCCUGGAGCCAGCACACUGGCUUAGGAGCACAAAGAUACUUUAGGCAGAACCUGGAGCAUGUCCACAGCUAAUAACUACUUUUCUCAGGAUUUACGUUGAUGCUAUACUACACCAAGAUGGAAACAUACAGGGAAGGCAGAAUCAAGAAAGCAGGUAAG
rnacentral:sRNA from 1 species